rnacentral:rRNA from 1 species
UACGAAGGGGGCUAGCGUUGCUCGGAAUCACUGGGCGUAAAGCGCACGUAGGCGGAUCUUUAAGUCAGGGGUGAAAUCCUGGAGCUCAACUCCAGAACUGCUUUUGAUACUGAGGAUCUUGAGUCCGGGAGAGGUGAGUGGAACUCCGAGUGUAGAGGUGAAAUUCGUAGAUAUUCGGAAGAACACCAGUGGCGAAGGCGGCUCACUGGCCCGGUACUGACGCUGAGGUGCGAAAGCGUGGGGAGCAAACAGG